rnacentral:lncRNA from 1 species
UGACAAUUUAAUGAAUAAAGAUUCAUUAAAGCCCAAAAGCCCAAAAAUCCCAAUAUGGCCGGCCAUAGUGUGAUGAAUUAGGGUUUUGGUUAUGUAGGUCACUUAAAGAAGUGACUAUAUAAAUGACUUUAUAGCCAAAUAUUCAUAAAGGAUUAAAAGGGUUUAUUUUUGGGGAAAAUUGGUGAGAAUUGUCUCUCCAUUUUCUCUCUAAAGAGGCCAACACCUUGGAGGGUACAUCUAGCAAUCCUAACAACUCCAAGGUCACUCAUUUCUUCUACAAUCUAACCUUGGUGAAGAGACUUAGAGGUUCUCAAUUUUGGGAACUUGGAGAACCUAUUUUUCCAUCCAAAUCCAUGGAUCUAAGAAGCAAGGAAUGAAGGCCCUAUCUCUUUGGGUGAUUAGCCUUUGCUUAUGCAAAGAGGAAUCCACAAAGGUAAAAAUUUCAACUAACUUUGUUUUGAGUUGAUUAUUGGUUCACCAAUCUACUAGGCUUUGAAUUUCAUGGUAAUGUUUUGUUUUUGGGUGCAUACAAGCAUGAUUCCACCUUUAAUUGUUAAUUGCAUGCUAUAUGAUGUUGCUCAAAUGAACAUGUUUUUCAAAAUAAUUCCUUCAAGUGGUAUCAAGAGCCUAGGUCUAGUAGUUGGUGAAUCCUUUUGGGUUUUGUAGUUCAUAAGUUUAUGAUUUAAAAAUUGUAAUUGUUACAAGCUUUAUUCUUGCUUCUUUGAAUUAAAUUUUGUUUGAAAAUUUGCCAUCUCAAAUGUUGUAGAUGUAGUUCAUAUGAGGAUGAAUAUUGGAGCUAAAAUUUGGUGCCAUGAUUUUGGGGAUUUUCGGCCAAAUCCAAAGGGUGAUUUUUUGGGUUCAUGUUUGUCUUGUUAAAAGUGUUUUAAGGUGACUUUUGUAACCCCUAAGUACCCUAGGAUGUUAACAUCAUUUUGAAUGGUGAAAAUUUGAGUUUUAUGGCUUGAAAACAUUCAUGGAGCUCUUAUGGGUUUUCAUGGAUGUUCUUCAUUGUUCUUGAUGUUCUUGCCAAGAACUAAAAGGUUUUGUGUUUUGAUUCAAAGUUUUGAUUAUUUCAUAAAGUUUAUGUUAUAUGUUUUUCAAAUGAUUUAUCAUAUAUUUAAAAUAUUAGAUAUUUGAUUAAUAGCAAAAGAAAUAUAUAUCAUCAUUAUGAAAGGUAAAAGAAAAGGUGAUAAGAAUUUCUUUUCUUAUGCACCACUUGAAUGUUUUUUGACAAAACUAAUAAAUCAAAACACACACCACACCUUUUAUCCCUAAAUGGCCGGCUACCCUAUUAAAAUAGGGUAUUUUUUGGGGCUUUUAUGCAAUUACAUAAAGUUUUGAUACUUUUGUGUAUUUGUACUUUGACCCGAAAGUUUACGUUUUGACGUUAAGGCCUAAAAACGCUAAAGGACAAAUUGUUUUGCUCCUUUAAUGAAGUUUUGAGUUUAUUUAAAUUUUGGGUUCUAGUUGUAUUUACAUGAAGUAGUGACUUUUGUGUUUUUACAAAGUGACCCCAAA